rnacentral:rRNA from 1 species
UACGGGGGGGGCAAGCGUUGUUCGGAAUUACUGGGCGUAAAGGGCGUGUAGGCGGUCCGGUAAGUCGGCUGUGAAAGUCCAGGGCUCAACCCUGGGAUGCCGGUCGAUACUGCCGGACUAGAGUUCGGAAGAGGCGAGUGGAAUUCCCGGUGUAGCGGUGAAAUGCGUAGAUAUCGGGAGGAACAUCAGUGGCGAAGGCGGCAUCCUGGACCGAGAUCGACGCUGAGGCGCGAAAGCUAGGGGAGCAAACGGG